rnacentral:rRNA from 1 species
GAUGAACGCUGGCGGCGUGCCUAAUACAUGCAAGUCGAGCGAACGGACGAGAAGCUUGCUUUUCUGAUGUUAGCGGCGGACGGGUGAGUAACACGUGGAUAACCUACCUAUAAGACUGGGAUAACUUCGGGAAACCGGAGCUAAUACCGGAUAAUAUUUUGAACCGCAUGGUUCAAAAGUGAAAGACGGUCUUGCUGUCACUUAUAGAUGGAUCCGCGCUGCAUUAGCUAGUUGGUAAGGUAACGGCUUACCAAGGAAAUGAAGCAUAGCCGACCUGAGAGGGUGAUCGGCCACACUGGAACUGAGGCACGGUCCAGACACCUGCGGGAGGCAGCAGUAGGGAAUCCUACGCGAUGGGCGAAAGCCUGACGGAGCAACGCCGCGUGAGUGCUGAAGGUCUUCGGAUCGUAAAACUCUGUUAUUAGGGAAGAACAUAUGUGUAAGUAACUGUGCACAUCUUGACGGUACCUAAUCAGAAAGCCACGGCUAACUACGUG